CAUUCGCCUCGCCCCAAUAGGGCUGAUAAUUUUGCCAGAUUCUGGUUGACUGGCUGGCUAAAUGGCUGGUUACAUAAGUGUUUGUUUGGUUCUCUGUUUUGUUGACUGGCUGGCUGUUUUAGACUCCUUUGUGAUGAAUUGGGCUUUACGCUAAAUAGCACCGUUAGCAUUUAUGUUGAGUGCCAUCCAUCAUCUCGACUGCCGAUCAGUUACUACUGUUACUACUACAGUAUGUUCCCAUGUUGUCCAGGCUAUUCCUGUCAGGAUACCCUGUGGCAGUACUGGUAGGACUACUGAUUUCCAUAUGUUUUCCAUGGGCCAGGUGGCUCUGGGCGCACAGCGGCAGGAAGUGUUAGCCAGGGAUUAGGCCUAGCGGGUGCUGGCUUAUCAGCUGGCUUCUUCACUCACAGUAUGGCUGACACUAAGCCCUGGAAAUAAGCAGGGGGUUUUAUUAGCAACGUGCCCCAGGAACGGGUGAUCUAUCUGGGAGGAAAAGGGCAGGGGUCCCAGAGGCUCACUGUGUAUAGCAGGUGUCGUGGUCGGUGUUGCUAGGCAACCGUGUUCAGGAAGUGGCGGGGUGUGAGGGGGAGGAAAUGGGACGUUUGGAGUCAACACACAAACACCGAUAAAGCUACCUCUUCACACAUGUACACACACUUAAAGAUACAUUAUGUUUCUAUGUACUCUUUUUCACACACACUUACGAUACAAUGUCCCUCUCGUACACCCACAUGUGCAUGCACGCACACACACAUACACACCAGUGUAAGGCCCCAAUUCUCCCAUAAAGGCUCUAGAUUGAGAGAAUCACCCAUACCACAAACAAUUAACCCGCAAAGCCACAGUCAAUUUGCUUGUUUAAAUAGCCCUAACCAUUACGAGGUGUGUCCAAGCACUGCCAACCCAAAACCAAACAUUGGAUUUGAGCAAGCUGCAGGUUAUACCAGCCAAUAUAUAAAAUAACGCCUUUAAACUGGUGCACGGAGAAACUUUAGCUCUUCUAUAAAUACCUGAACACAUAUAACAUUUAAAACAUGUCUCAUCCAUAAACCUAGAGUUUCUAGACUAGGGACCUUAUAGACACUGUAGGUUUGGGAUAGCGUGUUACAAGGGUGGAGCAAUGGUUUUACUGUGGAGAACUAAGUACUAAUGGUUCAAUGUGGAGAGAGGGAGUGAGUGACAGAGAGAGUGAGAAGUAUGUGUGUGAAAUGUAUAUGUACUUGCAUGUUGGCCACAGCAGUGACAUAGUGUGUCUCUCUCUGGCGCUGUGGUGUGUGUGUGUGUGUGUGUGUGUGUGUGUGUGUGUGUGUGUGUGUGUGUGUGUGUGUGUGUGUGUGUGUGUGUGUGUGUGUGUGUGUGUGUGUGUGUGUGUGUGUGUGUGUGUGUGUGUGUGUGUGUGUGUGUGUGUGUGUUUAAAGCUCAGCAAAAGUGAUGACGCAAUGACAUCACACCAUAACAGAAAUGUCCUAUCAACUUAUAUACUCCCAAAAUAGCCUACAACACGGCCCAUCAGAAAUGCACAGCGAUACAAAUCACAUGUGGCUCUGGGCACAGCAGUGCUAAUUUAAUGGGACUCAAAUGCCGGGCAUUAGAAGAAUGCUGAGAGCAUUCCUGAACCACACCUACUACCAAGAUAACACACGUCUAGCCUGAAGUCAUAUGAUUAACCUAACAGAUGAAUAUAGUACUUCACCUCUAACACUGAAAUAGAAACAGGUCUGGUAUGGAGUACCAGUAAAUAAAUAGUAGGGGUAUGCCAUACUGGUAAAACAUGUGGACAUAUCACAAUAAUUAAAACAAAGAUUCUAAUUUGUCAUUACCGCAUGUCAGUCGCAUGAAAAAUUAACAAAUAGACUUGAGAACUUGUGGAAUACGCUCCAAAAUGUGGUGUGACUGAGACUCGAGUGGACAGCAGUGUAUGCAUACAUUUUGGUGUUUUGUAAGUGAUGUCUCUUUGCAUUUAUCAAAUGGCAUACAAAUGGGAACAGGAGUUGAGAAAUAUGAUUUAUUUCUUUCCGCAUCUUGAGAGAAUAAAAGUUGACAUUCAAGACUAAAUGAAAUACUAUCAGUUGUUUGAUCGUUUUCACAGCUUUUCAUUUCCUUUAAACUGAUGUCAUUUGGAAAUCUCCCAGGUCCCUAAAUGUCCUCAAAUUUAACCAAUCUCAACUAGAUUGUUGAUGAUUCAUUGAUCAUUCUGUCGAUUUAUGACAUUCUAGCGAGCAAGUGCUUAUUUGGAGUUCUAGACGAGCAUUAAGUAAUGACAGAAGAGAAGCUGCACAUAUCUAAUUAUAGACAAGUUGGCUAACAAAUAGCCUUCCAAAUGUCAGAAAUUAUAAGCAGAAGAAUAUGUACAUGAGGCUUAAAAAGUCCCCCCCCCCCCCCUUGAAUAACACUAUUAGCUGCAGUAUCUAAUAAUACAUAACACUAUUAGCUACAGUAUCACAGUAUACAGUAUACAUACAGUAUACAUAACACUAUUAGAACUAACAGUUUUAUAACAACCUAGUUUAGUCCUUAAAGGGACAUUUCACCGCUGCUCUAUUUCACUAUAUAUGUCCAUUAAUAUGUUAAUUUAUCCUAUGUGUCAUAAAAAAUAUUUGAAAAAUCCUCACUACACGCAAAUACGAGCGUUUCUGCAUCUCACCGGUAGAAACGGGCAAGCUACAUUUCGUGGUUGUAAAGCAAACGACAAUAUCCAGAUUUCAUAGUGAUUUCAGGACGUAGGUACCGCUCUGUGGAGGUGUAUCCAGUUGAUGUGAGAAAUAUACAAAUGCCUGUGUUUGUAACCAGCACUUUCAGCCAGAGUGUUUCAAAACGGAACUGAAGUCUCAACUGAUGAUUUUUUUCCAUGUCGUCGACUGUUGAAAAGUGAUGCUAUUCCAUCAAUUUCCUACUUCACUUCGAAGAGGAAGGGAUCCGAUCAGCCAACAUCAACGCUGCAGAAAAAAAAGUAAAGCUGAGAGUCCAAUUCCAACAACAUCUGCAGUGGCAUCAAGCUCAGCACCAGGAACGAAUAGACUAAUCCUGCUGCUGAUAAUUAAUCCUGCCGACCAUGACCAUGACACCAGCUUUAGACCCAUUGGAUGACAACUUUAAGCCUGGAAUAAGCUCAAGGCCAACAUCAUCUGACUUUGAACCAUGCCACGACAGCCAAUGGAGACUUGCAGUACAUAGAAAUCAUCUGCAAGAGGUCGAAGCAGUGGGUGGUGGAGAACAUCACCACAGCGCCAAAGCCUGCUAAACCAGCUGCCAUUACCCAACACAAGAAGACGUUCAGCACACGAAUAUUCUGGAACCUGCCAGGACCAUUCAACCAACGAAUCAUCCAUAUACAGUUUGACUGAUGCUGUAGUAUAAUAUAGAAUGCCUAGUAUGCUGAACUGCAUUGUGGUAUAGUUAUUGCUAGCUGUUGAACAUAUGUACACUGCUCAAAAAAUAAAGAGAAAACUAAAAUAACACAUCCUAGAUCUGAAUGAAAUAUAAUAAUCUUAUUAAAUACUUUUUUCUUUACAUAGUUGAAUGUGCUGACAACAAAAUCACACAUUAUCAAUGGAAAUCAAAUUUAUCAACCCAUGGAGGUCUGGAUUUGGAGUAACACUCAAAAUUAAAGUGGAAAACCACACUACAGGCUGAUCCAACUUUGAUGUAAUGUCCUUAAAACAAGGCAAAAUGAGGCUCAGUAGUGUGUGUGGCCUCCACAUGCCUGUAUGGCUUCCCUACAAUGCCUGGGCAGGCCUGGGGAACAGGCGGGCCAGUCCAUAGCAUCAAUGCCUUCCUCUUGCAGGAACUGCUGACACGCUCCAGUAACAUGAGGUCUAGCAUUGUCUUGCAUUAGGAGGAACCCAGGGCCAACCGCACCAGCAUAUGGUCUCACAAGGGGUCUGAGGAUCUCAUCUCAGUACCUAAUGGCAGUCAGGCUACCUCUGGCGAGCACAUGGAAGGCUGUGAGGCCCCCCAAAGAAAUGCCACCCCACACCAUGACUGACCCACCACCAAACCAGUCAUGCUGGAGGAUGUUGCAGGCAGCAGAAUGUUCUCCACGGCGUCUCCAGACUGUCACGUCUGUCAUGUGCUCAGUGUGAACCUGCUUUCAUCUGUGAAGAGCACAGGGCGCCAGUGGCGAAUUUGCCAAUCUUGGUGUUCUCUGGCAAAUGCCAAACGUCCUGCACAGUGUUGGGCUGUAAGCACAACCCCCUCCUGUGGACGUUGGGCCCUCAUACCACCCUCAUGGAGACUGUUUCUGACCGUUUGAGCAGACACAUGCACAUUUGUGGCCUGCUGGAGGUCAUUUUGCAGGGCUCUGGCAGUGCUCCUCCUUGCACAAAGGCGGAGGUAGCGGUCCUGCUGCUGGGUUGUUGCCCUCCUACGGCCUCCUCCACAUCUCCUGAUGUACUGGCCUGUCUCCUGGUAGCACCUCCAUGCUCUGGACACUACGCUGACAGACACAGCAAACCUUCUUGCCACAGCUCGCAUUGAUGUGCCAUCCUGGAUGAGCUGCACGACCUGAGCCACUUGUGUGGGUUGUAGACUCCGUCUCAUGCUACCACUAGAGUGAAAGCACCGCCAGCAUUCAAAAGUGACCAAAACAUCAGCCAUGAAGCAUAGGAACUGAGAAGUGGUCUGGUCACCACCUGCAGAACCACUCCUUUAUUUAUGGUGUCUUGCUAAUUGCCUAUAAUUUCCACCUGUUGUCUAUUCAAUUUGCAUAACAGCAUGUGAAAUUUAUUGUCAAUCAGUGUUGCUUCCUAAGUGGACAGUUUGAUUUCACAGAAGUUUGAUUGACUUGGAGUUACAUUGUGUUGUUUAAGUGUUCCCUUUAUUUUUUGAGCAUUGUAUAUAAUGGUGUUUUAUACAUUUUUUAAUAUAUAUUUUUUAUACAAGUGUACUGACAAGUGACUAAAUGAUUCCAGCUGCAUCAGAAACCAAUAGUGCUGACUUUUUAAAUUAAUUGUGAUAUUCAUGAAAUGUACUUGGGUAAACUAGCUUCAAUCUUACUGCUAAAAGAAAUGAUGAAGGUCAUUGGUGUAUCAUUUAAACUUUAAUUUGAUGGCAAGUAAACAUGUUAAAAUAAAACCGAUUUGUCUUCAAGACCAAGUUUAUUUGCUCUGGAGACCGGGGUGAGUUUACAUGCAGGAAGUUAUGGCAAUGUAUGACAUACUGUAUAUACAGUAGAAAAAUAUAUACUAAUGUUUAUAAUAAAUACUAGUUCUACAAUCGGAA